UUGGAGUGUCCAUGACCACAAAGCUGAGGCCCAGGCUCAGAAGUAGCAGCUGUGCAAACUGUGAUGUCUAGUACAUACAAGAGGCAGCAGUGGGACCAUCAUCAGAUGAACUCUGUGUUUACUGGACAUCAUUCACAGAAGCCGAGGGUUAAGCAAUUGACUAUCAAUCAAUAAUCUUUUAUGAAAGAAGAGAUGGUGCAGCACACGCAUGCCCAAUAUUAAGAGAGAGAAGACAUUUAUUGAGGCAAGCAGCUGGAGUGGACCUGCCCCCAUCACCAGGCCAGCUUCCCACCUGCACGUGCAGCUCUUUCUUCUUUUGCAGGAGGCUGGCUCUGCUCAUUAGACAUGCAACAAAGAGCUGGCCUGUGGAGCACACAUCCAUAUUCAUAACUCAAGUCAGCUGGAAAGUUGUACAUUUUUCUUUCUGGGAAGUCAUGGCGACAAAGACUGAAGACCCAGGCAGCACAAAUGUGAAUGAUGGAUCUCUUGGAAGAACAACAAAGACUGAAUUCCAUGGAAAAGAGAAGGAGGUGAACAAAAGGAAGAAAUGCAGAGAAAAAUAUGGAAUAGAAAUAUGAGGGAAGAUAUUAGCAAACUGGCUACAUCUUUUAUGACAAACUCAACUGAUUACAUCUUUUCCAAGAACAUCUUCAGAGGUUUGCUGGAGUUUGGAUUUACUACUGAGUCAUAUUUGGAGCAUGCUGGAAUCUUACAACUGAGAUUACCGAGUCAGAAACUGUUGUUUUUGUUGUAAGAACACUCAACAUGGC
rnacentral:lncRNA from 1 species